GCCAUUUAAUUCAUAACGGUUGAUUAUUGAAUGAUAUUAUUUCAAUUGAAUACCUUAUUCAUGUGUGCAAUUAACCUCAAUGAGAAUAAUUAUUCUCUUCCUCUAAUCAAUUUCACGUCUUCAUAUUAAUCUCAUACAGCUCUUCCUCAUAGAAUACGAUAAAACUUGCAAUAGAGCAUAAAUAAGUCCUAAUCACCCAUACCUCACACGCUAUUCUCAACAUUAUAUUUUGUUUAUCUCAAAUAUUUUCUAAGUCACUCAAACAACCACCCACAUAUUCCCUCUCUUUCUUGUGGAAGUUCUAAGCCUUCGUUCCUUCGUCUUUAUGAAAUUUUUCGAGGGCUAUAUAGUGUUACGUGGAAGGAAAACGUUCAAGGUAAGGGCUUUUUCCUAUACAGAGUGAGGCUAGAAAUUAAAUUAGCAGUUCGUAGGAUAUUGAUAUGAUGUCUGGAUGACUUAAAAGAAAAAUGUUGAUUUUAUUUUCGUCAUAAAGAAAUUAACUAUAAUGUUUUGGUUUUUUCUUUUGAGUAAUACAUCUAUUUUGAUGAACUUAAUUAUAGAGUUCAAUUUUUAUUAUUAUCCCUUGAUAAAUAUGUUUGUAGUGAUAAUUUUUAACGUCUUACGUGUUUUAGAGUACUUAAUUAUAAAGUUAUAGUUUUUAUGAUGAUAUCAUUAGUAAUAUGUUUGUUAUGAUGUAUUUGAUAUUAAGUAUUGACUUUUUGAGUAUUUUAAAUUUUAAAUUUGACUUUUAUGAACAAUAUAUGUAUCAUGAGGAAAUUGAUGAGAAUUUUAUAUUUUUAAUUUUGACAAUAUGAGAAAAUUGAUUAUUGAAAUGAAUUAAUAUAUAGUUCAUUUUAUAAUGCGGGAAACUUUAUAGUGAAAGGAAUACAAUUUCUAUUGUUAUUGUAUUUUUGGUAAUAUGAGCUUUAAUUUUUAUCAAUAACAAGUAGUCAAAUCGAAUCUUAUGAAUUAUUAAAAUGAAAGUGGUGAUUUUGAGAUAUUUGUUCACAUGCAUAUUUGAUCUGUUGAAGUUAUAGAGCUCUUACUAUGAACAUCCAUGAGAAUAUAAAUUUGAUGUCUUAUGUGAUUAAAAAAAAUUUAAUCUGAAAUAUUUUGUCUUUGUGGUUGCCUAAGUGGCUGGUGAUUUGUGUUUUAAAUAUUGUUAUCUUUGUGGUUGCCUAAGUGGCUUGUGAUUUGUGUUUUAAAUAUUGUUAUCAUAGUGGUUACCUAAGUGGCUGGUGAUUUGUGUUUUAAAUAUUGUUAUCUUUGUGGUUGUCUAAGUGGCUGGUGAUUUGUGUUUUAAAUAUUGUUAUCUUUGUGGUUGUCUAAGUGGCUGGUGAUUUGUGUUUUAAAUAUUGUUAUAUUUGUGGUGGCCUAAGUGUCUGGUAAUUUGUGUGAUUGUCUAAGUGAGCGGUGACAUGUACCUUUUGAGUUAUCAUUUCAUGAUAUAUCAUAUGAAUCUUUGUGGAUGCAUGUGUGGUUGGUUAUAUCUAGAUCAUAUAUGUUUAAGAGCAUGCAUAACUUGCAUAUAUUUUAUUGUUAUUUUUAUUUUGAUAUAAUUAAUUGCUCUACGGUUGCUACUUGAUUUAUUUAGAUACACUUUUGAUAUAUCUUUGAGAACUAUUAAAGAAUCAAUUUCUUUAAAUCUUUUAUUACGAAAAGAUUUUAUAUUCAUAUUUUAUGGUUGUUAACUAUUAUUUGAUUUAAUUUUUGUUGUGGGAUGAACUAACCCCUUACACCAACAUUUAGGUACUAAUGAUCUCAAAGAGUAGCAUGAAUGAUGUUUGCUUGGUGCACGCGCGUGGAAAAAUGAGACUUUUACUUAAAAAGAAUGUUUUGUAUUACUAAAAUUUUUGUGUUGCAUUGUAAAGUUAUUUACUCUUCAUCAUUAACUUUUAGUAGAAAUGCGGAAGUGAGAUUUCAUUCGCUAGUAAAUAAUUGAACGUCAUUAAUUUCAGUCAACCUUACUUCUUUUGAAUUUCACUUAAAGAUAAUUUAUUUUAUUUUGGAG
rnacentral:lncRNA from 1 species